rnacentral:rRNA from 1 species
UACAGGGGGGUGCAAACGUUGCUCGGAAUCAUUGGGCGUAAAGCGCACGUAGGCGGUUCGUUAUGUCGGAUGUGAAAGCCCUUGGCUUAACCGAGGAAGUGCAUCCGAAACUGGCGAGCUAGAGUACGAAAGAGGAUCGCGGAAUUCCCGGUGUAGAGGUGAAAUUCGUAGAUAUCGGGAGGAACACCAGUGGCGAAGGCGGCGAUCUGGGAAGAUACUGACGCUGAGGUGCGAAAGCGUGGGGAGCAAACAGG